AAACCAAUAGCAGUCCGCGGGCCACUACUACAGCAAAUAUCCGAGUUUUCUUGUUGAUUUAUGAGGGAUACCACAAGUUCUAUUUUUACAGAAGUUGAACUACAGGAUAUGAAGUUUGAUGGAUGUGGAGGUCGAAGGAGCUCCCUU